GACGAACGCUGGCGGCGUGCUUAACACAUGCAAGUCGAACGGAAAGGCCCUGCUUGUGUGGGGUGCUCGAGUGGCGAACGGGUGAGUAACACGGGAGUAACCUGCCCUGGACUUUGGGAUAACUUGAGGAAACUGGGGCUAAUACCGGAGAGGAGCUCGUGCUGGAUGGGGGGGGUUGGAAAGUUUCGGCGGUUGGGGAUGGACUCGGGGCUUAUCAGCUUGUUGGGGGGGUAGUGGCUUAGGAAGGAUUUGACGGGUAGCCGGACUGGGAGGGUGACCGGCUACAUUGGGCUUGGGGAACGGCCCAGACGCCUACGGGAGGCAGCAGUGGGGAAUAUUGCACACUGGGCGGAAUGCUGAUGCAGCAACGUCGCGUGGGGGAUGACGGCAUGCGGGGUGUAAACCGCUUUAGCCUGUGACGAGGCGUGAGUGCCGGUACUGGGGAAAGAAGAACCGCCAAACUACGU
rnacentral:rRNA from 1 species